rnacentral:rRNA from 1 species
UACGUAGGUGGCAAGCGUUGUCCGGAUUUACUGGGCGUAAAGAGCGCGCAGGCGGCCAAGUCAGUCGAAUGUGAAAGCCCCCGGCUCAACUGGGGAGGGUCAUUCGAUACUGCUCGGCUCGAAGACAGGAGAGGGAAGUGGAAUUCCCGGUGUAGUGGUGAAAUGCGUAGAUAUCGGGAGGAACACCAGUGGCGAAGGCGACUUUCUGGCCUGUUCUUGACGCUGAGGCGCGAAAGCUAGGGGAGCAAACGGGGAUUAAGAAACCCGGG